rnacentral:rRNA from 1 species
GGUUAAGCGACUAAGCGUACACGGUGGAUGCCCUGGCAGUCAGAGGCGAUGAAGGACGUGCUAAUCUGCGAAAAGCGCCGGCGAGGUGAUAUGAACCCUUGACCCGGCGAUGUCCGAAUGGGGAAACCCAGUGCAAUCCGUUGCACUAUCGUUAACUGAAUACAUAGGUUAACGAGGCGAACCGGGGGAACUGAAACAUCUAAGUACCCCGAGGAAAAGAAAUCAACCGAGAUUCCCCCAGUAGCGGCGAGCGAACGGGGAGCAGCCCGGAGUCUGAAUCAGCUUGUGUGUUAGUGGAACGGUCUGGAAAGUCCGACGGUACAGGGUGAUAGUCCCGUACACGAAAGCACACAUGCUGUGAACUCGAAGAGUAGGGCGGGACACGUGGUAUCCUGUCUGAAUAUGGGGGGACCAUCCUCCAAGGCUAAAUACUCCUGACUGACCGAUAGUGAACCAGUACCGUGAGGGAAAGGCGAAAAGAACCCCGGCGAGGGGAGUGAAAAAGAACCUGAAACCGUGUACGUACAAGCAGUGGGAGCCUCUUUAUGGGGUGACUGCGUACCUUUUGUAUAAUGGGUCAGCGACUUAUAUUCUGUAGCAAGGUUAACCGUAUAGGGGAGCCGAAGGGAAACCGAGUCUUAACUGGGCGUUAAGUUGCAGGGUAUAGACCCGAAACCCGGUGAUCUAGCCAUGGGCAGGUUGAAGGUUGGGUAACACUAACUGGAGGACCGAACCGACUAAUGUUGAAAAAUUAGCGGAUGACCUGUGGCUGGGGGUGAAAGGCCAAUCAAACCGGGAGAUAGCUGGUUCUCCCCGAAAGCUAUUUAGGUAGCGCCUCGUGAACUCAUCUUCGGGGGUAGAGCACUGUUUCGGCUAGGGGGCCAUCCCGGCUUACCAACCCGAUGCAAACUACGAAUACCGAAGAAUGUUAUCACGGGAGACACACGGCGGGUGCUAACGUCCGUCGUGAAGAGGGAAACAACCCAGACCGCCAGCUAAGGUCCCAAAGUCAUGGUUAAGUGGGAAACGAUGUGGGAAGGCACAGACAGCCAGGAUGUUGGCUUAGAAGCAGCCAUCAUUUAAAGAAAGCGUAAUAGCUCACUGGUCGAGUCGGCCUGCGCGGAAGAUGUAACGGGGCUAAACCAUGCACCGAAGCUGCGGCAGCGACACUUAUGUGUUGUUGGGUAGGGGAGCGUUCUGUAAGCCGUUGAAGGUGUGCUGUGAGGCAUGCUGGAGGUAUCAGAAGUGCGAAUGCUGACAUAAGUAACGAUAAAGCGGGUGAAAAGCCCGCUCGCCGGAAGACCAAGGGUUCCUGUCCAACGUUAAUCGGGGCAGGGUGAGUCGACCCCUAAGGCGAGGCCGAAAGGCGUAGUCGAUGGGAAACAGGUUAAUAUUCCUGUACUUGGUGUUACUGCGAAGGGGGGACGGAGAAGGCUAUGUCAGCCGGGCGACGGUUGUCCCGGUUUAAGCAUGUAGGCGGAGGUUCCAGGUAAAUCCGGUACCUUAUUAACGCUGAGGUGUGAUGACGAGGCACUACGGUGCUGAAGUGAUAAAUGCCCUGCUUCCAGGAAAAGCCUCUAAGCAUCAGGUAACACGAAAUCGUACCCCAAACCGACACAGGUGGUCAGGUAGAGAAUACCAAGGCGCUUGAGAGAACUCGGGUGAAGGAACUAGGCAAAAUGGUGCCGUAACUUCGGGAGAAGGCACGCUGAUGUGUAGGUGAAGCCCCUGCGGGUGGAGCUGAAAUCAGUCGAAGAUACCAGCUGGCUGCAACUGUUUAUUAAAAACACAGCACUGUGCAAACACGAAAGUGGACGUAUACGGUGUGACGCCUGCCCGGUGCCGGAAGGUUAAUUGAUGGGGUUAGCGGCAACGCGAAGCUCUUGAUCGAAGCCCCGGUAAACGGCGGCCGUAACUAUAACGGUCCUAAGGUAGCGAAAUUCCUUGUCGGGUAAGUUCCGACCUGCACGAAUGGCGUAAUGAUGGCCAGGCUGUCUCCACCCGAGACUCAGUGAAAUUGAACUCGCUGUGAAGAUGCAGUGUACCCGCGGCAAGACGGAAAGACCCCGUGAACCUUUACUAUAGCUUGACACUGAACACUGGUCCUUGAUGUGUAGGAUAGGUGGGAGGCUUUGAAGCGUGGACGCCAGUCUGCGUGGAGCCAACCUUGAAAUACCACCCUUUAAUGGCUGGUGUUCUAACGUAGACCCGUAAUCCGGGUUGCGGACAGUGUCUGGUGGGUAGUUUGACUGGGGCGGUCUCCUCCCAAAGAGUAACGGAGGAGCACGAAGGUUGGCUAAUCCUGGUCGGACAUCAGGAGGUUAGUGCAAUGGCAUAAGCCAGCUUGACUGCGAGCGUGACGGCGCGAGCAGGUGCGAAAGCAGGUCAUAGUGAUCCGGUGGUUCUGAAUGGAAGGGCCAUCGCUCAACGGAUAAAAGGUACUCCGGGGAUAACAGGCUGAUACCGCCCAAGAGUUCAUAUCGACGGCGGUGUUUGGCACCUCGAUGUCGGCUCAUCACAUCCUGGGGCUGAAGUAGGUCCCAAGGGUAUGGCUGUUCGCCAUUUAAAGUGGUACGCGAGCUGGGUUUAGAACGUCGUGAGACAGUUCGGUCCCUAUCUGCCGUGGGCGCUGGAGAAUUGAGGGGGGCUGCUCCUAGUACGAGAGGACCGGAGUGGACGCAUCACUGGUGUUCGGGUUGUCAUGCCAAUGGCACUGCCCGGUAGCUAAAUGCGGAAGAGAUAAGUGCUGAAAGCAUCUAAGCACGAAACUUGCCCCGAGAUGAGUUCUCCCUGAGACUUUAAGUCUCCUGAAGGAACGUUGAAGACGACGACGUUGAUAGGUCGGGUGUGUAAGCGCAGCGAUGCGUUGAGCUAACCGAUACUAAUGAACCGUGAGGCUUAACCUU